rnacentral:lncRNA from 1 species
UUUAGUAAUUAUAAAUAUACCCAUUUAUCCUUAGCUACCGUUUGAUUCGGGGUUAAGGAAAAACUAGUAAUUCCAGGGAUAGAAUUAAGUUCAGGGUUAAGAUGGGGUUAAAGUAUUUUUGUGUUUAGUUAGGAGUUAGAGUUAGUUCAGGAUAGUAAAAAAUAGUGUUUGGUUGGAGUAGGUGGGAUAUAUAAGAAGGAUAGUGGUUGGUAAAAUAAUUAAAAGACGAAAAUUCCCUCACAUUAAUAUAUUGAAAUAAAAGUUUAUUUUUUGAUUUUUAAAAUUCUAUACUUGCAAAUAAUUGUGAGGAUUAAAAUUAAAUACAUUUUUUUGCCUAAUUUUGUACCGAAAAUUUUUUUCCACUACUCUUUUGUAAUUUUGAAAAUUCCUAAAAUUUUCAAACAACUAUAUUCAAAUUGUCUUAAUUUUAAAUUUCACUUAUAUUUGUAUUUCCCGAACUAUUUUAAUAUUUGACUUAUAAUUGCAUUUUAACCCUCCAAAAAUACAAAAUUCUAACCUUUCAAAUUUAGCCCCUAGUGGAGUUGAGUACCGUUAGACGUUUUCAAUUCCAAUUUGUGCCGAUAACAUUAUUACUUCCAAUAAGCACCUGUAACCAUCACAACGCAUACGCUCAACUUUUGCACUUCAAUUAUGACGGUCAUACGAGACCUUGCAAAAUUUGAUAAAAAUUAGCAUUCCUAUUCGGAUAGCAUUAAUAAUACACAAAUAUUUAAUAAGUACAUCAAGUCAAUCUGCACAUCAACGAACAUUUACAAAGAUUACAACACAUUGAAUCAAAAAUAAAUAUAUAUACAACCAAAACAGUUUGAAAGAGUACAAAUAUAUAACAGAAUUAAAAAAUAAUUACAUCUACCAAUACGCGAUUUGUCUAAAGCCCGAAAAAUAACUGGCUAUAAAUAACAUUUUGCUGCGCAAGUUGUCGCUCAACCUACUUUUUGGCAUGCUUGUCAUUCAAUGACAUAAAAGCAUUGCGAUUCUUAUUUUCCUUAAACGCAUCGACGACAGCCAAGAUGUGAUCAUCACUUAACCCCGUCAUCCGAUACACU